UGCAGUCGAGGGGCAGCACAGGUAGCAAUACUGGGUGGCGACCGGCGGAUGGGUGCGUAACGCGUAUGCAACCUACCAUUGAUUGGGGCAUAGCCCGAAGAAAUUCGGAUUAAUACUCCAUAAUAUUCAUCAAAGGCAUCUUUUAUGAAUUAAAGCUUUUGCGAUCAAUGAUGGGCAUGCGUGACAUUAGUUAGUUGGUGAGGUAACGGCUCACCAAAACGAUGAUGUCUAGGGGUUCUGAGAGGAUUAUCCCCCACACUGGUACUGAGACACGGACCUGACUCCUACGGGAGGCAGCAGUGAGGAAUAUUGGUCAAUGGACGCAAGUCUGAACCAGCCAUGCCGCGUGCAGGAUGACGGCCCUAUGGGUUGUAAACUGCUUUUCCAAGGGAAGAACCCUCCGACGUGUCGGAGACUGACGGUACCGUGGGAAUAAGCAUCGGCUAACUCCGUGCCAGCAGCCGCGGUAAUACGGAGGAUGCAAGCGUUAUCCGGAUUUAUUGGGUUUAAAGGGUGCGUAGGUGGGCUUAUAAGUCAGCGGUGAAAUCCCCCGGCUCAACCAGGGAAUUGCCGUUGAUACUGUUAGCCUUGAGUACAGUUGAAGUGGGCGGAAUGUAGCAUGUAGCGGUGAAAUGCAUAGAUAUGCUACAGGACACCAAUAGCGAAGGCAGCUCACUAAGUUGUAACUGACACUAAUGCACGAAAGCGUGGGGAUCAAACAGGAUUAGAUACCCUGGUAGUCCACGCUGUAAACGAUGAUCACUCGUUGUUGGCGAUAUACAGUCAG
rnacentral:rRNA from 1 species